UGCAUCCAACAGUCACUAUUGAAAGGCAAAAUCACUAUUAGAAUUAAAAGAACCGUCUCUUCCCCGACUCUCUCUAUCUCGAUUGAAACCGGUGAGAGGAUAUUUCUCUCCGUUUAUAGAAAAUUCUUUUCUCCCCUACUCCUAAUCUAACUUGCAGACAAUGUUCAAGAAAACUGAAUUGCUUGGAUUUCUUUUUAAUUUCAAGGUCUUAAACUGACUAUGUUAAAACCUUACAAUGGGUCAAUCUCUGUUACUGGCAAAGUUUUUUUGGAUGCAAAAAAAGAACAAAGUGAGGAUAUGUAAAGCAAUGUAAGUAGUGAAAGAUCAGGUAAUUUUGAGGCCAUUUUUCCUCGGGAAAAUAGGCGAUAUUGCGCAACAUGUUCAAUUUACAAGGUAUUCAGACCUCAAAAGUUACUAUGCAUACAUGUUUGUUGCCAUAUGACCUGUAUACGGCAUUGGUUAGACUAGCUAUGAAGAACGAAUAACUCAUAGUUCUUGAAAUAUGCUCAUCUGCAAAGGGCACAAUCUGUUCUGUUACAUCACCUUCUCUUAGCUUAUGUUGAGCAAGUUAGUAGAAGUUGGCUUCCAUAUCUUCGAUAUACUUUGUUAUCAUGUUAACUGGUAACUUAAGGUUUUAAAAGAAACCAAGGAGAUGAAGAAUUAAUAUGUUACUGAUAACAUAAUUUUUUGUCGAUGACCAUGAAAUAGAGCCUUAUACAUUUUUAUUUCUUUCUCUUGGAAAAGUGAGAUGCUUCCUCAGAAGUUUCCUGAUUAUUUUUAAUGCACUAUGUUUACUUCAGUUGGGUUUGAGGCAAUGUUGUUACUUGUGGCUUAUGAAAAGCCAGCUUUCGGGAAUGUUGACGGAUAGUGGAUUUGCAAUUAUUAGGUAAUCGUGGUACUAAGUAUCUUGGAUAUAUGAUUAUCUUUUGACUAAUCAAAUUAGAUAUUGGCUUCUUUAAUUCAGUUCCUGUUCCCUAUUUAUUAUGACUUUUUUCCAGUUGAUCGCUUAUGGACAAUGUUCACCAAUGGGUAAAAUGUAUUUUUUCCCUAUGGUGCUUGCAAAAUUUGGAAAAAAAAAGAGGGACACAAAAAGGAGGACUUAGAAUGAAGCCCAUGUAGUACUAUCUGUUUUGUCAUGGCUAUACAUUUUCGUACUAUCAUGUAUGGUAUUGUAGAUACUAAUCCCAAUCUUUAAUGGGAAACAAAAUGAAUAAACAUCAUGUCUUUGUGUGCAAUAUACUUCACACCACAUUUUAUUGAAA